ACUUGAUGUAUAACAUUAUAUAUAACUAAAUCUUAAUUUUAAAAGUUUAAUAUGUGUGUAUUUUAUGUUGGGGUGACAAAAGUAAAAAUAUAAUUAACUGCUUAAUAAUUAAAUCAAAUAUAAAUGAGUAUUAUUAGAUGAUCCUAUAUAAAGAUUAUAAGUUUAAGUU
rnacentral:rRNA from 1 species